UUUCCGUAGGUGAACCUGCGGAAGGAUCAUUACAGAGUUCAUGCCCUAACGGGUAGACCUCCCACCCUUUGUUAUACCUACCUUUGUUGCUUUGGCAGGCCGCCUUCGGGCUAUCGGCUUCGGCUGGUGCGUGCCUGCCAGAGGACCCCAAACUCUGAAUUUUAAUGUCGUCUGAGUACUAUAUAAUAGUUAAAACUUUCAACAACGGAUCUCUUGGUUCUGGCAUCGAUGAAGAACGCAGC
rnacentral:misc_RNA from 1 species